rnacentral:rRNA from 1 species
GGGUUGUGAGGUUAAGCGACUAAGCGUACACGGUGGAUGCCCUGGCAGUCAGAGGCGAUGAAGGACGUGCUAAUCUGCGAUAAGCGUCGGUAAGGUGAUAUGAACCGUUAUAACCGGCGAUUUCCGAAUGGGGAAACCCAGUGUGUUUCGACACACUAUCAUUAACUGAAUCCAUAGGUUAAUGAGGCGAACCGGGGGAACUGAAACAUCUAAGUACCCCGAGGAAAAGAAAUCAACCGAGAUUCCCCCAGUAGCGGCGAGCGAACGGGGAGCAGCCCAGAGCCUGAAUCAGUGUGUGUGUUAGUGGAAGCGUCUGGAAAGGCGCGCGAUACAGGGUGACAGCCCCGUACACAAA